AUGCACUUUUGCAUAAACCCCCCUGCCUUUUCCCCUAUUCAACCCGCACUCCCUCCACCUGAAUUAAUUCUGUCGGAACGAAUCCACCUCGCGUCCGCCUCUGUUCCCCUCGUGCUCACCUGCCCCCCUCAGCUCCAGCUCCAUCUCUACGCCAACAGCAAGCUCGCUGCUGCCGUCCAGCUUCAGCUCCGGCGUCAUGGUCUCCUGGUCGGACGGGUCGUCCUCGACAUCGACAUCCCGAGCAAGAAGGUGACGGUGGUGGGCGACGUGACGCCGCUGGGCGUGCUCACCAGCGUCUCCAAGGUGAAGCCCGCACAGUUCUGGCCGUCGCAGCCGUGCCCCCCGCGCACCUCCGCUUCCUUCUGA
rnacentral:rRNA from 1 species